CGAGGGUGGCUCCUUUUGGUGUCAGUUGACUUGACUGGGCGGGUCCAAUUCCAGCCGGAUCUCUGCCUUCUAGGCUUGGGGUCUGCCGGCUGUGAGAGGUGGCUGUUCAACUCACAUAAGCAAUCAAUUCUGAAGGCAGAUCUAUUGGCUGGCUCUGCUGGCUAUAGACUGAUUAAAUACAGACAACUCUCAACAACGGAUAUCUUGGCUCCCGUAACGAUGAAGAACGCAGCGAAAUGCGAUACGUAGUGUGAAUUGCAGAAUUCCGUGAACCAUCGAAUCUUUGAACGCAAAUUGCGCUCGAGGCCUCGGCCAAGAGCAUGUCUGCCUCAGCGUCGGCUACUACCCUCAACUAAGUUUCCUAUUAUCAUAGGGGAUGCCGGUUGGAUCUGGCUGUCCGGUUUUCCUUUCAGGUUGCCGGUCAGCUGAAAUACAUUCACGCUUUGGGGGCUGCUUUCCUUUCGAGGAAAGGCUGGUUCCGAUUUGGUAGGUGACCUUUGCCGGUUACAUGCCUUCGUUGCCCGCUAAGACUCCCAGUAUGCGUAGUGCAGGACGCCUUUUGGCUUUCGACC
rnacentral:rRNA from 1 species